rnacentral:rRNA from 1 species
AACGAACGCUGGCGGCAUGCCUAACACAUGCCAGUCGAACGAGACCUUCGGGUCUAGUGGCGCACGGGUGCGUAACGCGUGGGAACCUGCCCUUAGGUUCGGAAUAACUCCCCGAAAGGGGUGCUAAUACCGGGUAAUGUCUUCGGACCAAAGAUUUAUCGCCUUUGGAUGGGCCCGCGUUGUAUUAGCUAGUUGGUAGGGUAAAAGCCUACCAAGGCGACGAUCCAUAGCUGGUCUGAGAGGAUGGUCAGCCACACUGGGACUGAGACACGGCCCAGACUCCUACGGGAGGCAGCAGUGGGGAAUAUUGGACAAUGGGCGAAAGCCUGAUCCAGCAAUGCCGCGUGAGUGAUGAAGGCCUUAGGGUUGUAAAGCUCUUUUACCCGGGAUGAUAAUGACAGUACCGGGAGAAUAAGCUCCGGCUAACUCCGUG